GCUGGUUAUGACAUUGAGCAUCAACCGCAAUUGCUUAGAGUGGGCUAUUCCAAUGAAAACCAUGAAGUUGAGAAAGAAGGAAAGUUUUUGAAGACUUCUUGCCCUGCGAGUCUUCCACGCGCCCCGAGACUUGCAAAUCCUACAGAAAGCAAUACCUAUUGACCCAAAAUAGGACUCCGACACUUGGCGUAAAAGGCAGCAAGAAUGCCAUUGUGAGUAAGAAUAAUACUCAUGACUAAACCUAGCCUAAGUUCUGCUUGACCCGGCCACCCCAGGCCUCUCCUUACCAAGCUGUUGUGCAUCGCCAGCUCCUCCUUCAGGUAAAGGACAUCUUUUUCCAGAUUUUUCACCAUUCUCUAAGCAAAAGGAGAAAAAAGACAGAUAGUGAGUAAACCAUAACCAAUCAACGAAUCCCAAGGCAAGUGGCAAAGAGCCCAUCAGAUAGAAACGUGUCGUAAGUAAGUUAGAAAGCUUUUAAAAGGCUAGUAAACAGGUUGAUGGUGAGCUUGCUUUGCAAAUGAUUGCCAGGGCAGCCCUUUCUGCACAGUCCAUGAACUAAGGUGUUUUCCACCCUCUAAACAUGUUUUUCAUCUUCUAAAACCUUUGUGUUAAUUGAUUACACCACACCAGGCACAAAUCUGUCCUUCUGGGGCACAACACAUGGACUACCUUUUAGAAUCAUACUAAUUUAGGCUACCGAGGCUUAUUUGGCAAGAGUUGUUCAGAGUCAUAUUCUUCCAGCCUCAAUAGAAGCCAGACUCUCUCUUAAAUAAUCAAUAAACAGAUCUAUCUAACUAUCUUAACAAAUUAUUUUGUUAAGAGCAAGUCAGGAGUGUUGUGGUUUAGCUAAGAAAAGAUGUUUGAUUGCUUUUAGGGUUUUAACUGUUUAUUUUGUAAUACUGCUCAUGUUUAAUUCGAUUUCAGUGUUUGCAUGUUUUGAUUGUAUUGUAUUGGUUAUAUGGUGGGUGGCUCUGAAUCUCUUUUUAGAGAGAAAAAGCAAGAUACAAACAAUAACAACAACAUAAUAGUAAUAGUAAUAUCUGACCAAGAAAACUGAUAGAUUUGCCUUACUGUCACUCACCACAAGUCAGAAGUGACUUAGGCCCCAUCUACACUGCCAUAUAAUCCAGUUUCAGAAUGCAAAUUAAUUACAUUGAACUGGAUUAUUUGACAUUAUAGACUAUGGCUCUUCUACACUGCCCUAUAUCCCAGGAUCUGAUCCCAGGUUACCUGUUUGUCCCAGAUGAUCUGGCAGUGGAGAUUCAUAUAAUCCAGUUUAAAGCAAAUAAUCUGGGAUCUGAUCCUGGGAUAUAAGGACAGUGUAGUAGGGGCCUUAUAUUAAUCAGUUCAGUGAGGUUCAAUUUGCAUUAUAUGAGUCUUCACUUACCAUUAUAAUGUAGUUCAAACUUGAUUAUGGCAAUGUAGAUGGGGAUCUUACAAGGCAUAUAAACAAUGAUAUGGCAGACAGAAGCCUGCCUUAUACUUAGACCCCUUCUACACUGCCCAAUAUCCCAAGAUAUGAUCCCAGAUUAUCUGCUUUAAACAGGAUAAUAUGAGUCUCCAUUGCUAGAUCAUCUGGGAUCAGAUCCUAGGAUACAGGAGCAAUGUGGAAAGGGCCCCAGACAAGCCAUCAAGCUGAGUAUUUCCAGCUAUGAUUGACAAUGUAGUUAUUUCAGGAUUUCAGGUAAAAAUCUUUCUCAGCCAGCCCUUCCUGGAAAUCCUUUUUUGUUUUCCCAUGCAAGUCUUAACUAGGUCCUGCCCAGCUUCCAAAAGCAGGCAACCGUUAGUUCCCAGCUGGUACAUCAGAUCUUCUUCUUUUUGCAAAAUGAGGUUGAUAACCCUCACGAAGCAUUUGCGGUCGACUUACUUUGCUC